AUUUAUUUGACUUGUUUGCAUCCCUGAACUAGAAUGUAAGCUCUGUGAGGGCAAGGCCUUCCUCUGUCUCAUUUCCCUGCUGUAUCCCCAGUACCUGGAAUAGUGCUUGGUGUGUAGCAGGCACUCAAUAAACUGUGGAAAGGAUGAAGACGUCCCCAGUUGGGGCUGGGGAGGGCGACCAGCUGGCCUGUGCCGUAGCCGGUCACAGCACAUCAUGCUCUGUUGCAGGUCACUGCAAGGGGAUGCUGCACCCCCUCAAGGUGAAGAGCUGAUUGAGGCUGCUAAGAGGAACGACUUCUGUAAGGUACUAGCUCCAGGCUCCAGUUCCUUCCCCCAGCAGUUCCCUCGGGCCCUGGGGAGCGAGGCCUCUGGGUUGGGCCAAGAGCUGACCUGCUCAGGUGCUGUCAUCUGUCAUCGUCUGGCCCUCUGUGGGAUCUCCAGUGAUCGUCCCAUUCCACUUUGCCGUAUCUCUGUCUAGGCCACAAUAGAUGGCUCCUAGUAGGGGCUUCCUAGCUCAGUCCACCUGUCCCUGGUGCUUAGAAAGGAGCAGGUCAGAGGAAGCACUGCUCCAGGGCUUGGUCACCAGUGCUGCCAGAGAGCCCCACAGGCUGUGGGGUGAGAGGCCCCUCCUCUGGUGCUCCAGAGAGACCCACAGAGGCAACUCGGGAGUAAGAUGUGUGAGCGCACUCGUUUCAGGCCUGUGCUGGUGUACCCAGCUGUGGGCCAGCGU
rnacentral:sRNA from 1 species